rnacentral:rRNA from 1 species
UCAGGAUGAACGCUAGCGGCAGGCUUAACACAUGCAAGUCGAGGGGCAGCGGGAUGUAGCAAUACAUUGCCGGCGACCGGCGGAUGGGUGCGUAACGCGUAUGCAACCUACCUUAUACAGGGGAAUAACCUUUCGAAAGGGAGACUAACACCCCAUAGUAUUGAUUUAAGGCAUCUUAGAUUAAUUAAAUAUUUAUAGGUAUAAGAUGGGCAUGCGUAUGAUUAGCUAGUUGGUAAGGUAACGGCUUACCAAGGCGACGAUCAUUAGGGGUUCUGAGAGGAAGGUCCCCCACACUGGUACUGAGACACGGACCAGACUCCUACGGGAGGCAGCAGUGAGGAAUAUUGGUCAAUGGGCGCAAGCCUGAACCAGCCAUGCCGCGUGCAGGAAGACGGCCUUAUGGGUUGUAAACUGCUUUUACAUAAGACUAACCGUAUAUUUGCGAAUAUACCUGAAUGUAUUAUGAGAAUAAGAAUCGGCUAACUCCGUGCCAGCCGCCGC